rnacentral:rRNA from 1 species
UACGUAGGCAGCGAGCGUUGUUCGGAGUUACUGGGCGUAAAGGGUGUGUAGGCGGUUCUUUAAGUUUGGUGUGAAAUCUCCCGGCUCAACUGGGAGGGUGCGCCGAAUACUGAGGGACUAGAGUACGGGAGAGGAAAGUGGAAUUCCUGGUGUAGCGGUGAAAUGCGUAGAUAUCAGGAGGAACACCGGUGGUGUAGACGGCUUUCUGGACCGUAACUGACGCUGAGACACGACAGCAUGGGGAGCGAACGGG